GGUCUUGAAAACCGGCGACCCGAAAGGGUUCCAGAGUUCGAAUCUCUGCGCUUCCGCCAU
rnacentral:tRNA from 1 species